rnacentral:lncRNA from 1 species
GACCCUUAUGGCAUACGAAUCAAAUUAAUCCCACGUCGGCUGGGAAAUAAAAUAGAUUUGCUUAACUUUAGCUCAUGAUGUAACAUUAAAUUAUUUAAAUAGGAUUUGCCCCAUGGACUUAGACAAUUACAUAUUCACUUUUAUAAUUUUAUUCUUCUAAACUCAAGUUAAUUUUCAUGUUAAUUUCUGUGUCAUGUGGACUCGAUUUAUGUGGCAAGAUUUCAUUUCAUACGCGGA